rnacentral:rRNA from 1 species
UUCGCAGGCGGUCUGAUAAGUCAGAUGUGAAAGGCUAUGGCUUAACCAUAGUAAGCAUUUGAAACUGUCAGACUUGAGUUAAGGAGAGGAAAGUGGAAUUCCUAGUGUAGCGGUGAAAUGCGUAGAUAUUAGGAGGAAUACCAGUGGCGAAAGGCGACUUUCUGGACUUAUACUGACGCUGAGGAACGAAAGCGUGGGGAGCAAACA